rnacentral:rRNA from 1 species
CCUACGGGAGGCAGCAGUGGGGAAUUUUGGACAAUGGGCGAAAGCCUGAUCCAGCAAUGCCGCGUGUGGGAAGAAGGCCUUCGGGUUGUAAACCACUUUUGUACGGAACGAAAAGGUCUGCUUUAAUAAAGCGGGCUCAUGACGGUACCGUAAGAAUAAGCACCGGCUAACUACGUGCCAGCGGCCGCGGUAAUACGUAGGGUGCGAGCGUUAAUCGGAAUUACUGGGCGUAAAGCGUGCGCAGGCGGUUAUAUAAGACAGUUGUGAAAUCCCCGGGCUCAACCUGGGAAUUGCAUCUGUGACUGUAUAGCUAGAGUACGGUAGAGGGGGAUGGAAUUCCGCGUGUAGCAGUGAAAUGCGUAGAUAUGCGGAGGAACACCGAUGGCGAAGGCAAUCCCCUGGACCUGUACUGACGCUCAUGCACGAAAGCGUGGGGAGCAAACAGGAUUAGAUACCCUGGUAGUCCACGCCCUAAACGAUGUCAACUGGUUGUUGGGUGCAUUAGUACUCAGUAACGAAGCUAACGCGUGAAGUUGACCGCCUGGGGAGUACGGCCGCAAGGUUGAAACUCAAAGAUAGUAGCGNGNGAGAGCGACGACGACGACGACGGAGGAGGAG